GCUAGCGUAGCUUAACAUUAAAGCAUAGCACUGAAGAUGCUAAGAUGAGCCCUAAAAAGCUCCGCAUGCAC
rnacentral:tRNA from 1 species